rnacentral:rRNA from 1 species
CAGUAGCCACGGGAAUACGAAGGGGGCUAGCGUUGUUCGGAAUUACUGGGCGUAAAGCGCACGUAGGCGGAUAUUUAAGUCAGGGGUGAAAUCCUGCAGCUCAACUGCGGAACUGCCUUUGAUACUGGGUAUCUUGAGUAUGGAAGAGGUUAGUGGAAUUGCGAGUGUAGAGGUGAAAUUCGUAGAUAUUCGCAGGAACACCAGUGGCGAAGGCGGCUAACUGGUCCAUAACUGACGCUGAGGUACGAAAGCAUGGGGAGCAAACAGGAUUAGAUACCCCUGUAGUCCCUGUCUCUUAUAU